rnacentral:lncRNA from 1 species
CUGGUCCCAAACUCACGGAAUUUACAGCCAAUUAUGAGCAGGCAUUAUUAAUAUUUGUGUUUGGGGGUCAGACCAGAGUUUGGUAGGUUUGUACCCAUCUGUAAGCCAGAAUCCCUGAAUCUCCAUACGCAACUGCAUGGUCUUGUGGAGGCGAGACGUCUGGGGGGAACGAACGGUGACUCCAAGAGCCUGUGUGGGGGUGUCUGUGCAAGGAGGAGCUUGGAAAGUGCUAGAAGUUGUGUGCAGCCUCUUGGGAAGCCCUCCCUCUGAAGAGUUGUGUUGCUGUGGGAAGGAAGCAGCGUGUUGGAAGAGGGCCUUAACGCAGCCGCCUUUCCCAAGAGUUCGGGGAGUCAUUCUGAUGAGCCAUCAGCAGGAACUGAGAAAGCCUGCAGAUAAAUGGAAAUGGAGAGGAGGGCUGUCAAGGAAACGUGUGGUUAACUUUGGAAUUGAAGAGUGCAGAUGUCAACAAAGCAGGUAUUUCAUUAGAGCAGAUCAAUACGCUUAACAGCAGGACCGCCAUGAGAUACAUUGUAGAUAACUGCCUUGUCUAUGCAUGAAAGUUGGGCUGUAUUGUGGGUUUUUAAUAAGUUGAACAUAUCCUUUUUAGUUGCAUGAAGUAAUGAUUGCUGAUCACCUGCAAGUGAUGCCGCUCUACUUGUUCCCUUGAUAGAAUAAUUAAUAAACUUAUGGCUCCUUUGUGUCUUUUCUAAUUG